ACUUUAGCUUAAUUAAUUUCAUAACAUUUCAGUCAUUUCUCAAAAGUGAAUGAAAAAAAAUGAUUGAAUUGUUUGAUUGAAAAUAUGAUCUUGCAUUGCAGAAGAACACGGGGAUAGAUCACAGCCAGGAAGACCAGGAAAUUAAAAAACAGGCCACACAGCUUGAUCAGUCAUCUUUUUAUAGUUUCUCUGAUCAUCCAAAGCAGUCUUAGACCAACUACUUGGAAGGUUCGUUGCAACCAAGAAGCUCUCCCUUCUCAUGAUACCAAGCCUUUGAGUAACUGGAAACCAUUAUUUAUCAGCAUGAACAGGAAAAGGUAUCCUAAAUUUAAUUUCAAAGUGUAUUUCAACUAUUGUGAAAACAGUGCUCAUCAAACUACUGAAACAUCAAGAUUACCUCUGCAGCGUCUUCUUGUCAUGCUGGAAUAAGCCAGCAAAAAUGUUCUUAUAUUGAGAAUAUUUGAGCUUUAGUGAUUAUAGACAAUGAAGGUAGAUAGAAAUUUUGUGAAGGACCCUUUUCUGAUUUGUUGAAGCUGGGCCAGUAAAGAAAAAGUGAUGUGGAACUUAGGGAUACAGAAGAAAGCCAAAACAACCUUUGCAUCCUGGCAAUUUACUUGCAGGUAAAGACAUAUAUGGACCACUACCCAAUCGUCAAACUGUCUAUUUCUCUUUAUAGCUUUUUAAAGUGAAAUAGUCUUCACACAUGAAACUGUGCAGGAGAAAAGAUGUUUAACAAAAAGUGGAAGAGGAAGUUCAGAAAAAAAUCUGUGUCGUGUGUGGUAAAGUAUGACUAGCUCAGUAAGUAGCAUUCAGAGAUGCUUUCCUCUUAACCAAAUCUGUUAUUUUGAAUUUCCUUGCUGGGAAUAGGUGCUAGUUUCAAGAUCUGUAUAUACUAGUUGUGCUGCUUGAGCAAUUACUCUAGGACUUGACCUCAGAGUUUGCCACUGAAAUUAUUUAGAAAGCCUAUCUUUCAACACUGUGUGAACACUAAGUGAUAUUUUAGAGCUACAGCUAUAGUAAGUAGGAACUGAUUAAAAGAAAUGCCUUGUAUUUCUUUUAAAAUAAAAGUAUUUUCUUCUUGUCUGAGAAUGGAGAC
rnacentral:lncRNA from 1 species